rnacentral:rRNA from 1 species
GACGAACGCUGGCGGCGUGCUUAACACAUGCAAGUCGAACGGAAAGGCCCUGCUUUUGUGGGGUGCUCGAGUGGCGAACGGGUGAGCAACACGUGAGUAACCUGCCCUUGACUUUGGGAUAACCUCAGGAAACUGGGGCUAAUACCGGAUAGGAGCUCCUGCUGCAUGGUGGGGGUUGGAAAGUUUCGGCGGUUGGGGAUGGACUCGCGGCUUAUCAGCUUGUUGGUGGGGUAGUGGCUUACCAAGGCUUUGACGGGUAGCCGGCCUGAGAGGGUGACCGGCCACAUGGGGACUGAGAUACGGCCCAGACUCCUACGGGAGGCAGCAGUGGGGAAUAUUGCACAAUGGGCGGAAGCCUGAUGCAGCAACGCCGCGUGCGGGAUGACGGCCUUCGGGUUGUAAACCGCUUUCGCCUGUGACGAAGCGUGAGUGACGGUAAUGGAUAAAGAAGCACCGGCUAACUACGUG